CCUACGGGCUGCAGCAGUGGGGAAUAUUGGACAAUGGGCGAAAGCCUGAUCCAGCCAUGCCGCGUGUGUGAAGAAGGCCUUCGGGUUGUAAAGCACUUUCAGUGGGGAAGAAAGCCUUGGGGCUAAUACCCUCGAGGAAGGACAUCACCCACAGAAGAAGCACCGGCUAACUCCGUGCCAGCAGCCGCGGUAAUACGGAGGGUGCGAGCGUUAAUCGGAAUUACUGGGCGUAAAGCGCGCGUAGGCGGUCUGAUAAGCCGGUUGUGAAAGCCCCGGGCUCAACCUGGGAACGGCAUCCGGAACUGUCAGGCUAGAGUGCAGGAGAGGAAGGUAGAAUUCCCUGUGUAGCGGUGAAAUGCGUAGAGAUCGGGAGGAAUACCAGUGGCGAAGGCGGCCUUCUGGACUGACACUGACGCUGAGGUGCGAAAGCGUGGGUAGCAAACAGGAUUAGAUACCCGUGUAGUC
rnacentral:rRNA from 1 species